rnacentral:rRNA from 1 species
GAGAUGUGGGUUAGUCCGCACGAGCGCACCCACUUUUAUUUGCCAUCAUUAAGUUGGGCACUCUGCAAAGAACUGCCAGUGAUAAGCUGGAGGAAGGUGGGGAUGACGUCAAGUCCUCAUGGCCCUUACGUGUUGGGCUACACACGUGCUACAAUGGUAUCUACAACAGGAAGCAAGGCUGCGAAGUUGAGCAAAUCCCUAAAAGAUACCUCAGUUCGGAUUGCACUCUGCAACUCGAGUGCAUGAAGCUGGAAUUACUAGUAAUCGUGGAUCAGCGUGCCACGGUGAAUGCGUUCCCGGGUCUUGUACACACCGCCCGUCACACCAUGGGAGUUGGUUCUACCUUAAGGCAAGGUUUCAAACCCUUGACCACGGUAUAGUCAGCGACUGGGGUGAAGUCGUAACAAGGUAGCCGUAGGGGAACCUGCGGCUGGAUUACCUCCUUUCU